rnacentral:misc_RNA from 1 species
CGUUAUAAUCAAAACGCCUCAAAAUUUGCCUUGGCGGUGUCGCAGCACAGGGUCUUUAAAAUGGCUACGACAAAUCUCGCAAUCUUUCAAUCUUGUGCUGGCAACAUAUACACGCUGGAAACAGCCAAUCCAAUCCUAUUCUUGUUUGCGACUCAUUGCGCCCAUGUUAGGGUUACGGGUUACCUUCACAACGCUUUCUCUUUCUGUUAGGGUUACCGUACCCAUGUGCCCGUGUUGUCCGUGUUUUGUGAGCUGCUGCUUUGUGCUUCCGCGACUGGACUCUCGAGCAAAUGGCGACGCGACGAGCUCAGUACGACGCCCGCUUUAAAAAAAGUGCAAUUAUGAUGGCUGAGCAAAUCGGAAACUCUGCCGCGGCUCAACGGGUAGAUGUGACAGAAUCGACUAUCCGUGGGUGGAGGCUCCAGCGUGAAGUGCUCUUCAAGUGUGAACCCGGCCGAAAAGGCUUCCGCGGACCACGUUGUAGUACUUUUCAAGUCUUGCAGGCCACUCCGGGGCCCACGCCGGCUAAAGCGGACACGUUGGCGCGCGCUCGGAGGCUUCUGCUCGUCUCGCCACCAACAAACAUGGCGCCACCUCUGGGAUCCACAUCGUCGCCGGUGUUCCUGCCGCAACUUGAAAACAUUACUCGUGCCACAAAACUCACACCACUGCCUUCCAUUGGACAUUCAUGCUUUCACAUUCACAACUCACAAGAAGUGCUUAGGCAUUUUCCGACUUUUUUGGAAAUCGAUAUUCGCCCCAAAAAAUGGGGUGGGCGACGAUUGGGGGAUGGGCGAUGACUCGGGAUGUUACAGUAGUGAAUUUCUUGUGCGAUGCAUUACACGAAAUUGUAAAGGCUGGUUUGCACGCUCGCGAAUGCUUAGGAGCGUUACAGCCUCUCGGGAUUUCUUACGCAAUGUGGCGAGUUGGGCACGCUGGUACUGAGACAACAUAACUUGCUAACUCGAGUGCUGUGCUAGCGAGUCAUCGAUAAUGCUGUACGAGAAACAAGUGCUCUUCUUAGCGAGUGCUUUUAACGACACAGUGUUACCCGAACCUGGGAUGUGCUCUGCACGUGUGCCCUUAUAGUUUUCUUAGUUUCUUAUUAUUUUUGUAUAUAUUCACGGUGCAAAUGUAUUGGGCUUUUAAGUAUGAAUGUCGUUUUCCUCUCAUAAAUAUGUCUGUGUUGUCUGUUGUGCGCUGUUUUUCAUUGUGUGGUCUCUUAUGAAAGAACACGCUGGCAUCGUCUAUCGGGUGGAACGCUCGCCAUUUCCGUAUAUUUUUUUCUUUCUUUACUGGCUAGAAAUGUUUACUAUUUCUCUUCGAUUGUACAUACAUGAGAUGUCACGAAAACUGCAAAAUAUUUGCUCUAGUAAAAUGCAGUUCCAGAGAUAACUGACGCCAGUGUGUUCUACUGUUGCGAGAGCUCAGUCUUAAAGGGAAGCUGAAGCGGUUUUAAAUAUGAGAAAAAACACCUCAGCCUAGUUAACGAGACCUCAGUCAUCACGAAAAUCGUAUUCGUUUGGUCAUUUUCUGCACGGAUUAACCGGAAAAGCGCCUUCAUCGUAGCGCCGAAGCCACGCCUCUC